AAGGAUUCAAAGAGAAAGCUUUACCAUCAGGCUGACACAAAGGCUAUUAAUAAUCCUGUCCUCGAGGUGCCAUGUGAAAUCUUGAUUCCAGUCAAGCUCAAAAAUAUGAAAAAGGUGACGUCUGUUUAGUUUCUCACAAUUUUUUCCUUUUCCCCGAUCCCAGAUCUGUGAGUCACCAUUCUGAAAUCGCUGAUUUUCAGAUAGUCACGUAAUGCACAGACAUCUCCACAUUCCACAGAACAAUUAGAAGAAUCCUCAGGGGACAUAGCUCAUCUGGGCAGCUCCUUAGAGUAGUAGAUCUAAAGACAUUCACAUCAUGAAGCUGGAUGACACCAGGCCAUUUUGGUAAACUCUUUCAGUCAUUGGACUUUAAAAAGAAAAGCUCCUAGGCUGGGCGCGGUGGCUCACGCCUGUAAUCCCAGCACUUUGGGAGGCCGAGGCAGGCGGAUCACGAGGUCAGGAGAUCGAGACCAUUCUAGAUAACACGGUGAAACCCUGUCUCU
rnacentral:lncRNA from 10 species